UGGGUUGUCUUCUGACCAGCAAAAAGUUGGUUUUCACCAAGCUCAUCUGUUGGGCUAAGGAACAUGUAUAUCAUUACAUGGUAUAAAUCAGCUUGGGAUCCGGUGCACCACUUCACAAUGAUAAGGACGGACAGGUAUCCAAACAGAGCAUUCAGAAAUAUUAUUUGUGGAACAAACUGACACCUGACAUUGCAAAGUUUGGUUAACUGCAAAUCAGCUUUGGAUCCGGUGCACCACUUCACAAUGAUAAGGACGGACAGGUAUCCAAACAGAGCAUUCAGAAAUAUUAUUUGUGGAACAAACUGACACCUGACAUUGCAAAGUUUGGUUAACUGCCAAUAUUUUGAUUGCAACAUCCAAAAUUGUAAAACGGCAUCCCAGAAAUCUAGGGACUGUAAUCCCAAUAUAAU
rnacentral:lncRNA from 1 species